AGACCCCUGGUUCCUCCAAUAUGGCUAUCUUUCCUCUCAGAAAAGGAGUACCCUCUUGCGGGGUUUACUAUACGAAAAAACGAGGGUUUUGGGUCGGGGCGGUCGGGGCCAAAGAGUGAUUUUCCACCCGGUGGGAGCGCCUCUUGCGUAUUGUUUUCCUCCGCGCAGAAACUCAUUAUCGCUAGAUGGCAGUCCCACCAGGCGAAAAUCACCCAUACGCCCCGACACAAAACCCUCGCUUUUUGUAUAGUCAGAGUCAUUCAGUCAUAGAGGUAGAGGGACUCUGGAACAUGAUUUCAAAAUGGCUGAAUGAUAACUAGUGAAUUCACCCAAGCCUGCCAUUGAAGCAAAAAUAUUCUAUGGUAACAAAACUAGCAAAUGUUUUGUUGUAAUGUGAGCAUUGUGCAGGAGGAGGAGAUGCAAUGGUGAAUUCUCAAAGAAAGGGAAUGCAAGUUUAAUCCACUUCAUUCAGUAGAAAAUGUUUGAAACUGUCUAUUCUUCUUACAGAGAAAUGACAGCAAAAUUAAAAAGUGGAUGGAUGGUGGAUACUUUGUUCAUCAAUCUUGCUGCCAUAGCAAAGAUGCUUGGAUGAAAACAAAGGAGAGAAUUGUGUGCAUUCAUUAGUGGAUGAUCAGCUUGUUGGAGACAAAAGUGUAUUUGAAAGGGAUGUCUGCCACUCUCAACUAAUCUGCUUCUGGAUGUCCCAAAGCAGAGACAGCUGUGUCUGAAGAAUGCAAGAGUUAUAACAACAGUCUGAAUCAUAAUAAGUGAAACCAAGAGGUUAUGAAAGAUAGCAACAUUAUGUCAACAAGAUGGAGUCCUGAUCCUUCAAUUGGCAUUCAUAGCUUGGCAAUGGACACACUUUAAGGCCAUUGCUUACACUAGGGGCCCUCACUCCGUUCAGGAAGUUCCCGAUAGGGUACGGCCUGGUCGCCAAUUUCCCAUAAUAUCUCGGAAACCGUUUGCUCUUCCGGCAAAACAGACUCCGUAUACAUGUCCUAUGAG